AGUGAACGCUGGCGGUAGGCCUAACACAUGCAAGUCGAACGGCAGCACAGUAAGAGCUUGCUCUUACGGGUGGCGAGUGGCGGACGGGUGAGGAAUACAUCGGAAUCUACUUUUUCGUGGGGGAUAACGUAGGGAAACUUACGCUAAUACCGCAUACGACCUACGGGUGAAAGCAGGGGAUCUUCGGACCUCGCGCGAUUGAAUGAGCCGAUGUCGGAUUAGCUAGUUGGCGGGGUAAAGGCCCACCAAGGCGACGAUCCGUAGCUGGUCUGAGAGGAUGAUCAGCCACACUGGAACUGAGACACGGUCCAGACUCCUACGGGAGGCAGCAGUGGGGAAUAUUGGACAAUGGGCGCAAGCCUGAUCCAGCCAUACCGCGUGGGUGAAGAAGGCCUUCAGGUUGUAAAGCCCUUUUGUUGGGAAAGAAAAGCAGCAGGUUAAUACCCCGCUGUUCUGACGGUACCCAAAGAAUAAGCACCGGCUAACUUCGUG
rnacentral:rRNA from 1 species